rnacentral:rRNA from 1 species
CACGCUGUAAACGAUGGGUACUAGGUGUGGGAGGUAUCGACUCCUUCCGUGCCGCAGUUAACACAAUAAGUACCCCGCCUGGGGAGUACGAUGGCAACAUUAAAACUCAAAGGAAUUGACGGGGGCCCGCACAAGCAGCGGAGCAUGUGGUUUAAUUCGAAGCAACGCGAAGAACCUUACCCAGACUUGACAUCUCCUGAAUAUGUAAGAGAUUACAGAAGUCCUUCGGGACAGGAAGACAGGUGG